AGAACCUAAUUUCGUCAGUGCCAUUGGGUCCAGAAUAGCCGAGCCGUGUGAAACGAGCUAUUGGAUUGCUAUGAACGGAGUCCGAUACGUACCAGAAGCCAACUGUACUCCGUGACUUCUCCGGAAAACCGGAGUUACUAUUCACUUAAGUGAAUACUAUUAAUCGCGUAACUUCUCCAUUCUAACUCGGUUUCUCCUGAAACUUGACGAGUGCUUUUGUAAUUAAAUUACACACAAAAACAUCAUCAAAAGAGAGUUUAACUGCACUGCCAAAAUCUCAGUCCUUACACUCACGCCGCUGUCCACGGAGCCUCGGAGACCUUCCCCGCCGCCGCCGCCGCCUCGGCCAGCCGUGGCCG
rnacentral:lncRNA from 1 species